AUGUGCGGCGGAGCCAUCCUCGCGGGCUUCAUCCCGCCGUCGGCGGCCGCCAAGGCGGCGGCGGCCAAGAAGAAGCAGCAGCAGCGCAGCGUGACGGCCGACUCGCUCUGGCCGGGCCUGCAGAAGAAGGCGGCGGACGAGGAGGACUUCGAGGCCGACUUCCGCGAAUUCGAGCGGGACUCCAGCGACGACGACGCCGCGGUCGAGGAGGUCCCCCCGCCGCCGGCCGCGGCGGGGUUCGCCUUCGCCGCCGCCGCCGAGGUCGCGCCGCCGGCCCCUGCCCGCCUAGAUGCUGUUCAACGUGAUGGACCUGCUGCCAAACAAGUAAAGCGCGUUCGGAAGAAUCAGUACAGAGGGAUCCGCCAGCGUCCCUGGGGAAAAUGGGCAGCUGAAAUCCGUGACCCUAGCAAGGGUGUCCGGGUUUGGCUCGGGACAUACGACACUGCUGAGGAGGCAGCCAGGGCAUAUGAUGCUGAAGCCCGCAAGAUCCGUGGCAAGAAGGCCAAGGUCAAUUUUCCUGAGGAUGCUCCAACUGUUCAGAAGUCCACCCUGAAGCCAACUGCUGCUAAAUCAGCAAAGCUGGCUCCACCUCCGAAGGCCUGUGAGGAUGAGCCUUUCAAUCAUGUGAGCAGAGGAGACAAUGAUCUGUUUGCGAUGUUCGCCUUCAAUGACAAGAAGGUUCCUGCAAAGCCAGCUGAAAGUGUGGAUUCCCUUCUUCCGGUGAAACUGAAACCUCCUACUGAGACAUUCGGGAUGAACAUGCUCUCUGAUCAGAGCAGCAACUCGUUUGGCUCUACUGACUUUGGGUGGGACGACGAGGCCAUGACCCCAGACUACACAUCCGUCUUCGUUCCGAAUGCUGCCAUGCCGGCGUAUGUCGAGCCCGCUUACCUGCAAGGUGGAGCUCCAAAGAGACUGAGGAACAACUUUGGCGUGGCCGUGCUGCCUCAGGGAAAUGGUGCACAAGACAUCCCUGCUUUUGACCAUGAGAUGAAGUACUCGUUGCCUUAUGUCGAGAGCAGCUCGGACGGAUCAAUGGACAGCCUUCUGCUGAAUGGUGCGAUGCAGAACGGGGCAAGCAGCGGGGAUCUCUGGAGCCUCGACGAGCUCUUCAUGGCGGCCGGUGGUUACUGA
rnacentral:rRNA from 1 species